AUCUAAUACAUAUGACUUAGCUUGUCGGCAAUUUGAGAAGAUUAAUCGCUUGAGGGUUGAGAAGGGAUGGAAUAUUCACCUCUUAGAUGCCACUGAGGUAUUCCUUAAGUGUGGUUUCCAACGUUGAGCAAGAAUGGAAGAUUGGAGUGCUUGGU